rnacentral:rRNA from 1 species
AUGCAUUCCCCUAUACAUCCUCACCAAUACCACAUAGCAAAUCUAGCUAAUUACCCACCCUCUCCCUGCGAGCCCUCCACCACAACUACAGCUAACUCGGUCGAGAUGGCUCGCACUGCAGCAACAAAGCUCGUGCUGGUCGCCCUGGUGGCGGCAAUGCUCCUGGUAGCCUCCGACGCGGCGAUCUCCUGCGGUCAGGUGAACUCUGCCCUGGCCUCCUGCGUCUCCUACGCAAAAGGCAGCGGGGCCAGCCCGCCUGGGGCCUGCUGUUCCGGAGUUAGGAGAUUGGCCGGCUUAGCGCGGAGCACCGCCGACAAGCAAGCGGCAUGCAGGUGCAUCAAGAGUGCUGCCGGUGGGCUCAACCCCGGAAAGGCUGCAAGUAUCCCCUCCAAGUGCGGCGUCAGCAUCCCCUACUCCAUCAGCGCAUCCGUGGACUGCUCUAAGAUCCACUGA